rnacentral:rRNA from 1 species
GGGCGUAAGCGGGUCGUAGGUGGUUCUGUUAAGUUGGAUGUGAAAGCCCCGGGCUCAACCUGGGAGCUGCAUCCGAAACUGGCGAGCUAGAGUAUGGCAGAGGGUGGUGGAAUUUCCCGUGUAGCGGUGAAAUGCGUAGAUAUGGGAAGGAACACCAGUGGCGAAGGCGACCCCCUGGUCUAAUACUGACACUGAGGUGCGAAAGCGUGGGGAGCAAACAGGAUUAGA